GGGGCURUAUUUUAAGUUUAAAAUAUKCGCUUUGCAAGCGGAUGAUCCUGGCUCUA
rnacentral:tRNA from 1 species